GGAUGAACGCUAGCUACAGGCUUAACACAUGCAAGUCGAGGGGCAGCGGGAUUGAAGCUUGCUUCAAUUGCCGGCGACCGGCGCACGGGUGAGUAACGCGUAUCCAACCUUCCGUACACUCAGGGAUAGCCUUUCGAAAGAAAGAUUAAUACCUGAUGGUAUGAUGAGAUUGCAUGAUAGCAUCAUUAAAGAUUUAUCGGUGUACGAUGGGGAUGCGUUCCAUUAGGUAGUAGGCGGGGUAACGGCCCACCUAGCCAACGAUGGAUAGGGGUUCUGAGAGGAAGGUCCCCCACAUUGGAACUGAGACACGGUCCAAACUCCUACGGGAGGCAGCAGUGAGGAAUAUUGGUCAAUGGACGAGAGUCUGAACCAGCCAAGUAGCGUGAAGGAUGAAGGUCCUACGGAUUGUAAACUUCUUUUAUAAGGGAAUAAACCCUCCCACGUGUGGGAGCUUGUAUGUACCUUAUGAAUAAGCAUCGGCUAACUCCGUGCCAGCAGCCGCGGUAAUACGGAGGAUGCGAGCGUUAUCCGGAUUUAUUGGGUUUAAAGGGAGCGCAGACGGGUCGUUAAGUCAGCUGUGAAAGUUUGGGGCUCAACCUUAAAAUUGCAGUUGAUACUGGCGUCCUUGAGUGCGGUUGAGGUGUGCGGAAUUCGUGGUGUAGCGGUGAAAUGCUUAGAUAUCACGAAGAACUCCGAUUGCGAAGGCAGCACACUAAUCCGUAACUGACGUUCAUGCUCGAAAGUGUGGGUAUCAAACAGGAUUAGAUACCCUGGUAGUCCACACGGUAAACGAUGGAUACUCGCUGUUGGCGAUAUACUGUCAGCGGCUUAGCGAAAGCGUUAAGUAUCCCACCUGGGGAGUACGCCGGCAACGGUGAAACUCAAAUGAAUUGACGGAAGG
rnacentral:rRNA from 1 species